GGAUGCGAUCAUACCAGCACUAAAGCAUCGGAUCCCAUCAGAACUCUGAAGUGAAGCGUGCUUGGGUGAGAGUACUACUAGGAUGGGUGACCUCCUGGGAAGUCCUCCUGUUGCAUUGC
rnacentral:rRNA from 2 species